CGGAGAAGGCCGCCGCGGAUUCCUUUCGACGAUAGUUAAUAAUUAGCGUUACGACGAACGGCGUGGCGGUGUGUCGGUCGACGUUCGUUACGUAUUAUUUUACAGCCGGACGAUGAUUCUUAUUGUAAUUAAGCGGCAGCGGGCCCCCGGCCACCGGGAAUCGUAAAUUUCGAGUUUAUGGAGACAGACGGGAGCAGCGUGGUAAUAUUAAUUGCGCAUCGGCCGUAAUGGCCGGCCUCCGACGCCAUUGUUUUGUCCGCUGGAAAGUUGGAUUCGUGGAGGAAACGAAUCUCCUUCGAGAGAUCCAGGGAUCGCCAGGAUUCGUUUCUUCAGCGUUCGCGCCUGCUUGCUUUACCGACGUUAUUCGUUUUCGAAAAUUAAUUCCGUUCGUCUGUGGGACAAUUUUAAUCGACUCGUCAAUCGUUGCAACUGUAACGUAAAUUUACACGAGUCAUUUUCAAAUCUCCAAACGAUCAGAAUCGAGCCGAAAUCUACCGUGAACCCUUUCGUGGAUCCUUCCUUCUUCGACUGAGCUAUCGAUGGCCCUAAUUCGAUCGUACUCGCAACCCUAUCUCGAGGCGUCGACGGUGUCGAUAAUUGCGGAAGUGAUGGCGAGAUUAGCAAGGAUAGGGUAGGAGGGAGCGGCACAGCUGCGUCGUUAUUAUCAUUCUCUUCAUUAAAGGACGAUCGGGGUAACGAUUUAAUGGCUUUCUGGGUCUUAUCAUCCGCGGACUCUCGCGGCCCGAGACGCUCAUUCGUCGGCCGCUUAUUUCAAUAUUACAGUGUAAUAAAUAGCGAGCGUACACGUCGAGGAUUAAAUCGACGAAAAUUACAGAUCGUUCGGGACGAUGGGGACAGGCGGGACGGAGGAAGGAAGCGGAGACCCGCAAAUUACAUAGAUCUCGACCAACGGUACCACGCGUAUACUCUGGGAAUUUUUCAUCCGUGUUGUUGGGAUAAGAGAGACAUUGGAAGAUAGAUAGAGAGAGUGGGUUGUUGCGGAGCACUACAGGAUCGUUAUCGAGAGGGUCGACCACCCCUGCGAACCUGACUGUGACUCGAGGGUGGCUGAGAAUUUUGCAAAGUUUUCGAUUAGGAGCACUUGCUAAUUUGAUGAGUGUUGAUGGAGAUUAUGAAUCGUGAUUGUUGAUCCAUAUCGAUCCAAUAACGCGUACAGAAAACGCUCGGUAAUUACCGUGCACUGUCUCACAGGCAAAUCGACAUACUGGCGCUUAAUAACAGGCAAUAAUUGCUGUUUUUCAACGGAAACGGGCAAGUAGAAGGAUUACCUACAAAGUCUUCAUUAUUAAACGAGUCAUCGAUUACGCAACAGAAUUAAUUACGUUUCGAUUGGCAGUGAAGAAUGAUCAUUG